AUGUUGAUUUAAAGCAGAGUCUCGUGCCCAGCGGAAGGAUGAGGAGUACGUGCUGCAUACUCUAUAUAGCUUUAUUUACAGUUCAAAGCUGGUAUAUUACAGAAAGACAUCUUGCCUCUGCCGGAGCAGAAAAAUGCAUCCUCUCUCCCUCGACAGCUCGGAGAGAAUCACACAGUGAAAAACAGGAAACCAGUGUACGUCACAUCCAGUCUCCCUUUCCCGUGAGAAACUCCAACAGUACAGACUGUGGAAUGUAAACACCUGUCUCGUGACAAGCAGAGCUGCACAGUGAAGGAAAGCAGAAACCAACAUCCUCCCCCUUUCUGUGAACAUCACUGGGCAGCGUGUUUGCACAAUAUCAGUACAAACCCAACUUCUGCACAUAGGUACAGUGUUGAUCCCUCGAUACAAUCUUGGACAAUACAUCAGCAGGAAUUUCAUUACCUGGCAUAUAGGACACCGUUACGAGUCCCUUCUGAAUACAUUCCCUAGCAUGCUGCAACUUUAAUUGCAAGUGCUUUGUGCUUUGCUUACAACCUUCAGACUUCAGCAAAGCCAAACAUGCUUUGUUGUCCUGGUAAACCUGGAUUGGACAUUUGACAGGAAUUUUCAUAUCUUUGCACAAUUGUACUAACCAUUCACAAUCCUUAAGUGAAUAAGACAGUGCAUUCAGUUCGGCUUCACAAGUACUUAAGCUAACUGUUGUUUGCUUCUUGCAUGACCAAUCAAACAGACUCUGAUUGUACAUAUAGCAAACUCCAGACGUACUUUUCCUGUCUGUAGCGUCACUUCCAAAACUUGCAUCUGCAAAUAUCUCAAGACCACCAGACUUCUGAUUGUUAAAUCUCAGUCUGUAAUGCAUAGUGCCUUUCAAAUACCGCGCUAUGCGUUUCAGAGCUUUCCAAUCCUUGACACUAGGAUUGUUGACUUGUCUGCUUAGCAAAUUACAGCUAACAGCAAUGUCUGGUCUUGAACAUCUGGCAAUGAAGUUUAGCUUGCCUAGCACACUCCUGUACAGUGUAGUGUCAGAAAAUGCUUCUUCAGUGUCAUCUACCUGAUAACAUGUUGUCAUCGGUGUGUCUACAGGGUACGCUUCCAUCAGAUUAAGUUUGCUUAACACAUCAGCAAUUUUCCGUGACUGGUGUACUAGAAUGUUACCAUCUUGAUCUCUCUCUAUUUCCAGAGAUAGGUAGUUGUUUACCUCACCAAGAUCUUUCAUGUCAAAGUGCUCUUUCAGUUGAGCUAGGGCGUUAUUGUACAUUGCGACAUCUUUCCAAAAGAAUAAUAAAUCAUCAACAUAAAACAAACAGUACAGUUUCUUUUGCCCCUCCUCUUUGACAAAUACACAUGGAUCAGCUUUCCCUUGCUGAAAACCUAGAGAAAACAAUACUUCAGUGAGUUUUGUGUGCCAACACCGUGCACUUUGUUUGAGACCAUAAAGGGAUUUCUUCAGAGCACAAACAAAUCCCUGUUUUACCUGUACGCCAUCAGGUGGAAGCAUAUAAAGUGAUUCAUCUAGAGAUCCGUACAGAAAAGCUGUAUUAAUAUCAUGGUGACUAAUGUGUAGAUUUUCCUCUGCAGCUAGCUUGAGCAUAAGCCUAAUGCUUUCAUAUCUCACUGUGGGUGAAUAGGUCUCGUGAUAGUCUUCACCUGGUACCUGUGCAAAACCUCUGGCUACCAAUCUGGCUUUGUGUCUGACUAUCUUGCCAUUUUGAUCUGUCUUCGCUUUGAAGACCCAUUUGCUUCCAGCAGUUUCAUUCCUGGAACUACUGGAACUAGCUCCCAUGUUUUGUUCCUUUCUAAGGAAUCAAGCUCAGCCUUCAUGGCAUUUAACCAUGGCUCAGCUUCCUUCGAAUCCAAACCCUGGAUUUCUUGGAAACUUGAAGGUUCAAAUACCUUCUUGGAGCUUUUAACAGCUGUUACUGCUAUCUUAGCAAACUCAUCAGCAAAUCUCUUUGGAGGUUUGCCUUUUGUGGCUCUCUGUGACCUACGAAUUAGCCUUAAGUCUUCAACACUCUCCUCUUCCUUCUUAGGAGAAAAACGACCUAUUGUGAACAAUGGUUCCUCCAAUUCUUGAUCAGAGCUUUCAGAGGGUCGCAUAGAGGCUUUCGCACUCUCGAAAUCCUCUGAAUCACCCGAUUCAGUUUCAGAUUCAGACUCAGAACCUUCAUCAGUGGGUGUGGGCUGUUGUGGUUGCUUUUGACUAUCCUCAGUCUCAUCACCGUCAUCAGGAUAACAUUGGAAAAUUCCCACAUUCUCCCCCACUUUGCAUUGUACUCAACACUUCUCGUGAGCUUAAUUGUCUUAGAGUCAGUCAUCAUUAUUCUGUAAGACCCUUUCUGAUAACCUAGAAAGAUACCAUGCAAUCCACGCUUGUCUAACUUGGAGUUUUGUGGUGAGCGAACCCACAUGUCAGAACCAAAAAUCUUCAUGUGUUUGAUGUAUGGCUUCUUGCCAAACAUCUUCUCAUAGAGGUACAACCAAUCGCUGAAGAUAACCUGCGAUUGUAACUGUAAACAAAACACGAGAGAGAUUCGGCCCAAUAACUCUCUGGAAGAUUGGCAUCAUGCAGCAAGGUUUUUAACCCUUGAAGCAAUGUCUGAUUUGCCCGUUCCGCAAGUCCAUUCUGCCAUGGCGAGCGAGGACUAGACAAAUCGUGUUGAAUUCCUUUCUCAGUCAGAAAAGCUUCAAACUGCUGAGAAGUGAAUUCCCCCCCGCGAUCACUGAAAAGAGUCUUUAUCUUCUUACCAUGCACAUUUUCCAACCAAGCACAGAAUUCCUUGAACCUAGGAAAAGCCUCUGAUUUCUGCUUGAGAUUGUACACAAAAAUAUAUCUAGAAAAUGCAUCAAUGAGAACCAUGAAGUAUCUAUUUCCACCCAAAGAGGGCGCUAGUGGUCCAACCAAAUCAGCAUGAACAACCUGGUAUGGUUCUGUAGCUUUCCUACUAGACACCUUACCUUUCGCAGCCAUUUUCACUUUGUUUGCUGCGCAUGCUUUGCACUUCAUGUGGUACCUGCAGGGUUUAAUAGUCAUACCUUCAACCAAGGCAGGCAUUUUAGAUACUGCCUCAAAAUGCAAAUGACCAAAUUUUCUAUGAAAAUCGUGAAUACAUUCUGCAUGCAAACUUUUGUUAGAACCUGCAAUGCAACAAGUGUCAUCCUGCACCACAUCAUCAUAAUACAAAACAAACAAACGAUCAACAUAUUCUGCAUGCAAUACAUAAUCAUUUUUCUUUGUGAUGAUGCACUUCUUGUUCUUGAAGGAAACGUCAAUGUUCCGCUCAUUCAGCUGUCCAACGCUGAGCAGAUUAUGUUUGGCGUCUGGCACGUAAAGCACAUUCUGUAUCGAUAAGUCCAAACUGUGAAGAACAACAGUUCCGUAGCCUUUACUGGGAAUAGUGUGGUCAUCCGCCUGGUGAAUCGCACCUUCCUGCGGUGUAAAAGACACAAACAGUUUCUUAUCGUUGCACAUGUGGUGGGUCGCCGCUGAAUCAACAACGAAGAAAGAUCUAGACGUCUUCUGGACCUCUGCAACCUUUGGAGUGAAGCGUGAAACCAUAGCCUUGUGCUGCGUUGUCCUAGACACCGGACCUUUGCCUUUGCCUCGGCCUUUUCCGCGCGAUGAGCUUUCGCUGCGCUGCUCUGUCUUGGCCCUGGGAUGUCUGCAUUCCCUCUUCAUAUGGCCUAGACGUCCACACGAGUAGCAUUUCACUGCCUUCAAAGCUUUGGCGCCAUCUGGUGGUUCCACUGCACUAUGGGAUGACGUCUGUGAAGACUCCCCCUUGCCCAUGCAGCUAGCACCCCGGCGAUCUGCUUCAUUUAAAAUCACGGCAGUAACAAAGUCCACUGUCAGCUGAGCAGUUGGUUGCACAGCAAUCUGGGUUGCAACAGACUCCCAACCUGAACCCAAAGAUUGUAGUAUCAUGAAAGAAUACACAGCCUCUGGAAAGUUGAGUCCUCUCUGUUGCAGCUCAUGUCUCAGAUUUUGCAUCUCCAUCAGAUGUAAACGCACAUCUCCACCUUCAGCAAGAGCCAUAUUGUGCAGCUUGUUAAAGUAAAACAUAGUGGAUCCAGCUUCUGUCCUUAAGUGAGCCUCUCUCAAAGCGUCCCAAAUUUCUCUGGCUGAGGUCUUAUCACGCAAUAGACAGAGCUCUUCUGGGGAUACUAUCAAUGUAAGAGUUCCCCUUGCUUUGGAAUCCUUAGCUUUCCAUGCAUCUGUAACUGGAACUGGGGGGGUUUCUGUAAUCACCUCAAACAAACCCUCUUUCCGCAGAAUUGCCUCUGCAUACUGAACCCAGUCGCUGUAAUUUUUCUUGUUGAGCUUAGGAAUCCCACAAGCAUCCUGAAGGGCCAUCAUGACUCUGGCAUUAGCCUUCAGCGUCAUAUAUGCUGCUUUAAAUCUUGCUGCGUCACUGCUGCAGCUGCCUUAUUACAAAGGCGCACUUAAAAGUUACUUUCGAUUUCCCCAGCAUAGUGACUUGUGCCUGGGAGCCUUUUGCCUAUUCCCGGCAAAACCGGCUUUAAAAGUUCAAAGUCCAGCCAUAAAGCCAUUAACUUGAAGCUGGCAGGCUGCCCGGAGCAGUAGCACAUACCUCAUCAAUCACUUCUACGCGCAGAGCAGAUUCCUUUCCGAUCCGUCCCUCUGCAUUCCGAUCCUUUGCCGGCACUCCGAUUUGACUUCUGGGCCCAUAACCACGUGUUGAUUUAAAGCAGAGUCUCGUGCCCAGCGGAAGGAUGAGGAGUACGUGCUGCAUACUCUAUAUAGCUUUAUUUACAGUUCAAAGCUGGUAUAUUACAGAAAGACAUCUUGCCUCUGCCGGAGCAGAAAAAUGCAUCCUCUCUCCUCGACAGCUCGGAGAGAAUCACACAGUGAAAAACAGGAAACCAGUGUACGUCACAUCCAGCCUCCCUUUCCCGUGAGAAACUCCAACAGUACAGACUGUGGAAUGUAAACACCUGUCUCGUGACAAGCAGAGCUGCACAGUGAAGGAAAGCAGAAACCAACA